GUUGUGGUUAAAAAGCUCGUAGUUGGAUCUCGGCGGACUGAGGGCGGUUUGCUUGCUAGUAUUACUGCCCUAUAGUCCGUAGUUUUGCCAGAGGUUUCGGGGUGCUCUUAAUCGAGUGUCCCGGGAUGCUGGCAGGUUUACUUUGAAAAAAUUAGAGUGCUCAAAGCAGGCUAUUACGCCUGAAUAUUCGUGCAUGGAAUAAUAGAAUAGGAAGUCGUUUCUAUUUUGUUGGUUUUCGGAAAUCGACUUAAUGAUUAAUAGGGACAGUCGGGGGCAUUUGUAUUCAAACGACAGAGGUGAAAUUCUUGGACCGUUUGAAGACAAACUACUGCGAAAGCAUUCGCCAGGAAUGUUUUCAUUAAUCAAGAACGAAAGUUAAAGGUUCGAAGGCGAUUAGAUACCGCCCUAGUUUUAACCAUAAACGAUGCCAGCUAGCGAUCUGCGGACGUUUUUUUUGUAAGACUCCGCAGGAAGCUUCCGGGAAACCAAAGCAUUUGGGUUCCCAGGGGAAGUAUGGUUGCAAAGCCUGAAACUUAAAGGGAAUUGACGGAA
rnacentral:rRNA from 1 species